UACGAAGGGGGCUAGCGUUGUUCGGAAUUACUGGGCGUAAAAGCGCACGUAGGCGGAUCGAUCAGUCAGGGGUGAAAUCCCAGAGCUCAACUCUGGAACUGCCUUUUGAUACUGUCGAUCUGGAGUAUGGAAGAGGUGAGUGGAAUUCCGAGUGUAGAGGUGAAAUUCGUAGAUAUUCGGAGGAACACCAGUGGCGAAGGCGGCUCACUGGUCCAUUACUGACGCUGAGGUGCGAAAGCGUGGGGGAGCAAACAGG
rnacentral:rRNA from 1 species